rnacentral:rRNA from 1 species
GAUGAACGCUGGCGGCGUGCCUAAUACAUGCAAGUCGAGCGAACGGACGAGAAGCUUGCUUCUCUGAUGUUAGCGGCGGACGGGUGAGUAACACGUGGAUAACCUACCUAUAAGACUGGGAUAACUUCGGGAAACCGGAGCUAAUACCGGAUAAUAUUUUGAACCGCAUGGUUCAAAAGUGAAAGACGGUCUUGCUGUCACUGAUAGAUGGAUCCGCGCUGCAUUAGCUAGUUGGUAAGGUAACGGCUUACCAAGGCAACGAUGCAUAGCCGACCUGAGAGGGUGAUCGGCCACACUGGAACUGAGAUACGGUCCAGACUCCUACGGGAGGCAGCAGUAGGGAAUCUUCCGCAAUGGGCGAAAGCCUGACGGAGCAACGCCGCGCGAGUGAUGAAGGUCUUCGGAUCGUAAAACUCUGUUAUUAGGGAAGAACAUAUGUGUAAGUAACUGUGCACAUCUUGACGGUACCUAAUCAGAAAGCCACGGCUAACUACGUG